AGUGUUCAAAUACUUAUUUUCUUCUUCUAACUGUGUAUCAUCUGCAUAGCUAUGACAGUCAAAAUUAAUCUUUUGAAGAAUUUGACCCAACGGUAGCAUAUACAGGCUGAACAGGAUGGGUCCAAGAACUGAAAAUUGUUAUAAUUCAGCCACAUUGAUGGUGUUUUUGAGCAUGACCAAUAUUUUUAAGGUCAUGCCACAGCAUCUAAAUCAGAUUCAGGUCAGGACUUUGACUAGGCCAUUCCAAAGUCUUCAUUAUGUUUUUCUUUAACCAUUGAGUGGUGGACUUGCUGGUGGAUCAUUGUCCUGGCGCAGAACCCAAGUUAAUUUCAGCUUGAAGUCACAAACACGUGGCUGGACAUUCUCCAUCUAUCCAUUUUCUUGGGAGGUGGUGUACACGCUGAACUAGUUGCCAGCUCAUCGCAGGGCACAUGGAGACAGACAACACUUGCACUCACAAUCACACAUGGGUGCAAUUUAGAGUGUCCAAUUAAUGUUGCAUUUUUUUGGGAUGUGGGAGGAAACUGUCUCUUUCUUACGGUGGAGCCAUUCAGAUUUACCUUAAGUGAGGUAUGUCAGUCCUGCAGGUCUUUGGAUGGAGUCGUCGCUGGGUUCUUGGGGUGAUUUUGGUUGGCCGACCACUCUGGGGUAGUUUCACAACUGUUCUGUGUUUUUUUUUUUUCAUUUGUGGAUAAUGGCUCUCACUGGUUUGCUGGAGUCCCAACACUUUAGAAAUAUAUUUACAUCUUUUUCCAUUCAGAAAGAGAUUUCAAUUACUUUGUCAUUGUUUUUUCCUUGAGCUUCAUGCACCAUGAUGUGUAGAUUUUAAGGCUCUUUUCGUCACCCUAAUUUUUUCAGGCAGGUCCUGUUGAAGUGGUUUCUUGAUUCAGAACACUUGUGAACUGGUAGCAAGAGAAAUUAAACUCAAGUAUGAUGACCCACGUUUAUGUUUUAAUGGCCGGCAAUCCGUUUUUGACACACGGCCAUGUAGGUUGGGUAAUUACGUCCCAGUUAUAUAGAAUCACACGUACGGUCUGGCCUUUGCCAGAUCGUUGCUUCAUGCCUCGUUCCCGCACUCUCGUAAUCCUGUUCCUGAUCUCCAGUGUACUCACCCAUGCCUGCCCAUUGACCUGCCUCCUACACCUGACGUCCUUGUUACUGCUGCUCCUGUUGACUGCCUGUCUGAUCUCCGACACUGGACUAAAUGAAUAUGUUUACCAAACUGCCUCUAUGUCUCCCGAGUCGUGAAUUUGCGUCCAACCCCGUCUUCUGGUCGUGACAGAACGAUCUGGCCAUAACAUGGACCCAGGCGACUCAGUUGCGGUCCGCCCGUCCUUGCAGAUCCAGGGCAAACGUAUUGCCGAGCAGGAAGCCGCUCUCCAGUGUUGCCAACGCCAGUCCACUGACGACCACCGCUGACUCGAGCCCACGUCCGACUGUGUGCAUGCCACUCUCCCGACCCGAGCAGUUCUCCGGAGACACGGGUUAUAUUAAACCCUUCCUCGUCCAAUGUGAUCUCCAUUUUGAAUUGGAGGCCCCUGCCUUCCCCACUGACCACUCCUGGAUAGCCUUCCUGAUAUCCCACCUGACGGGGAGGGUAGAGGCUUGGGCCACAGCUGAAUGGAGCCGCGGUUCCGAUACCUGCCGUACCUGUACCUCCUUUGUGUGUGCAAUGACGCAGGUGUUUCAAUAUGUGUCCCCGGAAUAUGAGGCGGCGGCUGCUUUGAUUUCGCUCUGGCAGAGGCACCGCAGCGUUACAAAUUACGCCAUUGAGUUACGCAUCCGAGCAGCGGAGAGGGGGUGGAACGAGAGAGCAUUCCUUGAAGCGUUCUUUCAGAGGCUCUCGCCCGGGAUUCAAAAUCACCUCGUCGCAGUGAAACUGUCCACAGAUCUGGACUCGCUCAUCGCCCUUGCCCUGAGGGUCGACUAGACUCUAGUCACUAGAGGCUCGCAAUACAGGGGAGAGUCGACACGCUACAGGGCAACUUCUAAUGGAGCUUCGUAUCACAGACAGUGAACCAACCGGUUUAGGCCUUUGAGACGGACGCCUUGCAAGUUGAGGGGGUUCACGGCUCCCCGGAGGAACGUCAACGAUGCCGGCGAGAAUGUCGCUGUUACUACUUCGGAUGGCUGGGCCACCUCAUGGCUCGGUGCCCACUCUAACCCGUAUGACCCGCACUCAAGGUCUCCACGUGAUUCUGAAUUACGCCGCGGACAGCCCGAUGCAGUCCCUGCUUCAGGUGACGUUAAGCGCAGGAGAACAUUUAUACUUGGCUACAGUGUUCAUUGACUCCGGGUCUGACGCUAAUCUCCUGAACCCACGAGUGAUUGACUUAUUGGGCUUAGACUUUUAGAACGCAGCGUCUCUGACGCGUUUAUGCGACCAAUGGCAGGUUUUUGUGCCAGAUCACUCACCACACUCAGACCUAAGACAUGAUGUUCCCAGACGCACAUACUGAAUGCUUGAGUUUUCACGUGUUCGAUUCACGAAGCAGUGACAUCAUCUUGGGGAGUCCCUGGCUCAGGCAACAUAACCCUCUCAUUGUCUGGCCAGCCAGACAAAUCAAGUCAUGGGGUUCGAAAUGCGGAGGCGUCUGCUUCGAAUCCCCUGAUAAGGAGGUUGCUUUGGAACCUCCACGGGCCUCUCCGCAGGAGCCAGAUUUAACCUUGGUCCCUGACUACUACUUGGAUCUGUUAGUGUUUUCUGAAGCAAAGGCUAAGUUCCUUCCGCCUCACCGGCCAUAUGACUGUACUAUUGAUUUACUGCCCGGCACCUCACCCCGUGGGGGAGACUCUUCUCUCUUACAGGCCUGGAGCACCAAGCCAUGAGGGACUAUGUUGAGGAGUUUCUGGCGGCGGGUCUCAUCCUAGCCUCGUCAUCACGCGCCGGAGUGGGCUUCUUCUUUGUAAAGAAAAAGGAUAAAUCCCUGCGCCCCCGCAUUGACUACCAGGGGCCUAAUGACAUCACCAUAAAAAACAGGUACCGUCUUCCCCCAAUCGCAACGGUCUUCGAGAUGCUGAAGGAAGACAGUAUAUUUACCAAGCUGAAACUGAGAAACGCAUACAACCUGGUGUGUAUUAGGGAGGGAGACGAAUGGAAAACUGCCUUUAACAUGUCCACAGGGCACUGCGAGUACCUGGUGAUGUCUUUUGGACUGACGAAUGUACCAGCGGUGUUCCAGAACUUCAUCAGUGACGUCCUUUGCGAGAUGCUCAAUAGGCAUGUUUUCGUGUAUCAUGACAACAUACUGAUUUUUUUCUCCCCUGACGAAAAUCCACUCCGCCAAGCAGACCGCCGAGCUUCUGUAGUACAAAGUGUUCCGGAACCACGGCUACCAUACCGACGUGCUGUCGGACAGGGGACCCCAUAGCGUUUCGCGAUUUUGGAGGGAGUUUUGGCCACUGAUAGGGGCCACGGCAAGUCUGUCCUCAGGUCAGCACCCAGAGUCCAAUGGGCAGACUGAACUGGUCAGGACAUGGAAACUGGUCUCCGUUGCCUGGCCUCCCGUGACCCCGCCUCAUGGAGUCGGCAGCUCGGCUGGAUGGAAUACUCCCACAACUCCCUUCUCUCAGCUUCGACAGGUAUGUAACCCUUCCAUGUAGAGCAUGGUUACCCUCCCUCUCUCUUCCCGUCUCUAGACACUGACUCACAGGUACCGUCAGCAUUGGCUGUGGUCAGGCGCUGUAAGCAGACCUGGGAGCCUACAAGGCUGCAGCGGACUGCAAGAGGUUGAGGUGCACUGACCUAUAAAGGUGGACAGCGCGGCUGGCUGUUGGCAAGAGACCUCCUGCCUGCUACAGAUGGAAUCUCACAAGCUGGCCCCCAGGUUCCUCGGUCCUUUGCCUGUCACUAAGGUGAUCAACCCGGUUGCAGUAAACUCCCGAGAUUGAUGCAGGUCCACCUUACCUUUCAUGUCAGUCUGCUCAAGCCAGCUCGGUCAUAUUCACCUUGAAAAUAAUGAGAUUCUUCCAGAAGUUCAGAGAACCUCUAUGUCUAUCAAGAAAAGGUACAUAAACGAAAGUAUUGCGACUAAGUUCAUGGAGACUCGAAAAUCUCAAAUAUCAUAAAUGCUGUUGCUCUUGCUCAAACAUCCUGUGGUGACCUAGAACACUGUGGAGGAACACGUUGAUGGUCAUGAGCUCAAAAUCAAAGUGUAGGAAAGUAAAACGCAAGUGGAGAAAAACUAAACUGCAAAUUGACAAUAACCUCUUCUGAUAGUGUCUUUGUCAUUUUAACCAAGAGUGAGUCAUCGUUUGGCAGCAACACUUUUCUGAAAUCAUCAGUAAGGACCUCAACGAUAAUCACACAGGUGUGUAUUGAGCUAUUAAAGAAAAUAAUAGUUGGGGGGAACUAAUUUGUCUCACAGUUUAUAGCAUAUGUUGAUAUUCUAUUAUCAUAAGUUAUGAGAAGAUAAUGGCAGCGCGCACAUCUGCUGUGGCUCUUAGCUCUCCAGUUUGGUGCUUUUUCUUUCUUAUUAUUUUGACGGUACUUGUGGAUUACUGUAAAGCCACAGUCACAUAUAACUUCCAGAACCUGAUCAAUCUGGGACUGAAGCAUAAUUAAUCAAAAACAAUGGAAUACCAAAAGGCAAACAAUAUUCCGGAGGACGGAUAGCCCCUCUCAGCAAGCGACGGAGAAGGCAGAGGGAGCGUAGGCAAAAACAAGGAAGCAACCUCCCAAACCUGCGCUUCCAAGUAUCUUUUUGACCAAAGCAAGAUCCAUUACCCACAAAAUGGAUCAAUUAGAAUUACAACUAGCCACGAGCAGCUUUGUCUGGAACUGCAGUACUAUUUUCAUCAAGGAGACGUGACUACACCCGCGAAUCACUGACACAGCAGUUUUGCUAGCUGGCCAAAUGCUACAUCGACAAGACAGAACCAAAGACUCGGUAAAUACAAAGGGGGAGGGCUUUGUGUCUAUAUGCACAAUGAAUGGUGUUCUAACAGCAGAAUCAUUGACACCCACUGUUCUCCUGAUUUAGAGGUCCUUGCAGUCUCGUGCAGACCCAUUUAUCUACUGAGGGAGCUAACAGUGGUCAUUGUGGUAGCUGUCUAUUUCCUGCUGGAUGGUAACAUUAGCGUACCACUAAGCCAUCUGCUCAUGACUGUAAACAAACAGCAGCUCGCCCACCCCAACAGAGAAUUGAUUGUUGCUGGUGACUUCAACCAAGCAUGUUUCAAGACUGUCUUACCCAAAUUCGUCCAGUAUGUGACAUGCCCCACCAGAGGAGACAAAACCCUGGACCAUGUUUACUCCAACAUUAAACAUGCAUACAAGGCUUCCACCCUCCCCAUCUUGCUGGAUCCGACCAUCUCUGCGUCACCCUCACACCCAUACACUGUACAUCCCCCUAUGUAAACUAAGGCCUCAAACAAAGACAAUUACAACAUGGCCUGAGAAUGCAGAAAGCAUCUCACCUGCAGGACUGUUUUUCUUGCACUGUUUGGGAAUUAUUUGAACACCAGACCCUCCAGGAACACAUAGUUCCUGUUCUGUCUUACAUCAAAAACUGUAUAGACACUGUGACUGUAAAUAGACAGAUCCAGGUUUUCCCCAACCAAAAACCCUAGAUGACCCGAGAGACUAAGGCACUCCUGAGAUGCCGCCUUAAGGUCAGGGGACAAGGCACAGUAUAGUCCCGCCAGAGCCGACUUAAAGAGGGGCAUCAGAGUGGCCAAGACGGCCUACAAAAGAAAUAUUGAGGAGUACUUCACAGAAAACAACUCAAAAAAAGAUGUGGGAGGGAUUACAACACAUCACAAACUACAACAGUAAGAACAAGAUGUGUGCGGAAAAUACAGACGCCUCACUGGCCGAAAAACUAAACCAUUUCUUUGCCCGUUUUGAGAUGGACAGUUCAAACCCAGGCUCAUCACAACCACAACCAUCACACUGAUGCUUCAAGAACAUGAAGUUAGAAGUGUGCUCAGGACUGUAAACACCAAUAAAGCUGCUGGCCCAGAUGGAGUGCCGGGGAAGGUACUGAAGGCCUGUGCUGAUCUGCUGACGGGUAUUUUUCACGAAAAUCUUCAAUAGAUCCUUGCAACAAUCAACCCUUCCCUCCUGCCUGAAAUCUGCAAAAAUCAUCCCUGUCCCAAAAAAAAGCAGCCAUUGACAGUCUAAAUGAUUGCAGGCCUGUUGCACUCACACCUGUGAUUAUGAAGUGCUUUGAGAGGCUGGUUGCACCCCACAUAAGGGGCUCACUUCCUCCCUCACUCGACCCUACCAGUUUGCCUACAGAGGAAACCGGUCCACCGAUUGGCUGAUGCAGCGUCUACCCGGUCCCACUGUUCAUCAAUAGGGACUUUGUGGAGAGGGUCCACACCUUCAAAUUUCUGGGAGUCUACAUCUUGGACAAACUCACCUACACUGUAAAUACCACUGCGGUGGUGAGAAAGGCCCAGCUGUGACUCCACUUCCUGAGAGUGCUCAGGAAGAACAACUUGGAAGCUAAGCUGCUGCAGGCCUUCUACAGAACCACCGUGGAGAGCAUCUUCACAUACUGCAUCACAUAGUGGUAUGCUGGAUGCACAGGAAAGGUCUGCAAAGAGUGGUCAACAGUUCCCAGAAGAUCACUGGCUGCUCUCUGGAGGGCCCGAGAGGACAUUGCCAACUCCCGCUAUCACAGCAGAGCCACUAAUAUUGUAAAGGACUUUUCACAUCCUGGUCAUCACCUGUUUAACUUGCUGCCCUCUGGCAGGCGGUGAACGUCCCACAAAACACGGACAACCAGAUUCAAGGAUAGCUUUUUCCCCAGAGCCAUCAACUCCUUCAACUCAAAACCACUGAAUAUAACAGUACUGUAAAGGAAUAUUAUGUAACUGCACUUUUGUGCAUUUAUUUAUUUAUGUAUGUAUUUAUUUAUUUUAGCAGUAACUGUACCUUAAUGUUUUAUCUGUUUUUUUUUUAUCUAAAAUGUGCUUAUAUUUUUAUUCUAUUUUAUUGAACCUUGG